rnacentral:lncRNA from 1 species
AAACCUCACAUGGUUUGCAACAAACACAAUUCAUCCCACAAAUGAAAAAAAUAAAUCAACAGUUAUCACCAUACAUCAAAACAGAAUCAAAAUGCCCUAAGAGUCAUGGAUCUAUACAAAGGCAAAACGCAUAAACCAACCGGAUCUGCAGUGUAUAAGGUAUGCCUUAUCGUUUCCCCUUGCUCUGCUUUCUUCUUGUCCUAAUCCCUGGUUCUUCUUCUUGUGCAAUUUUCUUUCAUUUUGCCAGGGUUGCUAUCAAGGUGGUGGUUUUUAGCUCAAACUUGUUGAGAUUCAGUGUGAAAUCUCAACAAGCUUAGAAAUUUUAGAGCUC